GGGGGAGAGGAGGAUUAAGGCCUGUGCCAGUUGUUGUAAAAUCUCCCUGCAGGGCCAGCGGCUCACCCUUCUCGGUGUCACUAAUCCUGCUGCCGAUGAGGCCCGUUAAUUGGACGGCGGGUCGAUAAGAGGUGGACAGGGAAGUCAUGUCGCCCAUAAACCCCAACGGCACCUUCUGGAAUGUCCCUCUCUGGUAUGGCUGGAUGCUUCUAAUUGGUCAACACGUCCCCUGUAGGCCGAAUUGCUGUCUGCUAGUCGUGCUGUUGCCGGGUUCGGGAUUCACGAAAACUCUCAACGGUUGACUUUCCGCUGAGUUCAAUACCUGCCCGGGAGUCUGACAGUUGAGGUGCCGAGGUCUGACGGCCGACACAGCCUGGAUGAUUGUUCACUUUGUGACACCACGGACAUCUGUACCAGUUCGAGACUUGUGUAUGUUUUGUAAACAGGACAUAAUAGACAUAUUUGGUUACUGGUUAAAUUAUCAUCGGCAGAUAAUAAGCCACAACAACAGCCGCAAAUCCCGCCGCACCAGACAUCCUGGCAGGUGGCUUUCAUACUACAGAAGUGUAGCCCACGCGCACUGGAGAGCAACAGUUUCCUGUCAUCGCCUCAUCAUCACAAUCUCUCCAGUUAAAAUCUCUAGUCGCGCGUGUUCCUCAUAAAGUAUAAAAGCACUUAAAACACGCGUAGUCGGUUAACGUUAAAAUGUUGGGUUGAUUCAAAGUUGCACUGUGUAAACACGAUAGUGGAAGAAACAUUAACAAAGCCUAGCAUGGGAGACAAAUUACACAAGCAAACAUCCACACCACAGAGUAGACCAUAAUGAUAGCUUUUGCUUAGCCGGGAUGUACGGUGGGAAAAGCUGGAGGCUUUUAUGUAUCUGAAUCUCAUGGUUAAAGAGACAUCCGUCAUCAUGGGUUUCUUCCUAAAUCAAACACAUUUUAUUCUCUGUUGUGGUCACAUGGAAGAAUGUAGAAAAAGCUGGAAAAUCGAUGUCAUAGGCCUUUAAUGGGGGAAAGCUUCGGUUACCUUAUAGCCGAAUUGAUGUUUGUAAAUGGCAGUUGAUUCUAAAUUCUGAGCCUGUUGAUGGGACAACUAGGGAAGUCCUUCCUCUGGCCAUGUUCCCAUGGGAAAUGAAUAAGACCAGGCUUAGAAUCAAACUCUUUUAUUAUUAAAUUGGCAAGCUGUGAAAGUGUAGGCGUACUUGGUAAUCCCAUGUGAGGCAGUUUGAUCUUUGCAACAAAGAAGAGCUUCAACAUAAUAAAUAGGCUGGUUUUACUGUAGACUUAUUUUAAUGUGAUAAAAAGAUGCACCCUUUACUUCUGCCUACUGGGAUUACAUGUGUAAAGCAGCGUACGUUACGUAAGGUUAUAUAUUAUGUAAUUAAUUCAUUUUUUGAAAGUAUUAAACAUCGAAAUAGUUUAAUCAAUAGACGAUUGCUAACCAAUGACUACUGGACAAUUAGGACAGGAUAGUGUCAUGGGUCUUUCAUUACCAGACAAAAGAUUCUGGGUUUAAUUGGCAAUAUCUGCAGUCUCCCUGUAAGCAUCCUAAAGUCUGUCACAUCCCAUACCCAUCCCUGACAUAUAUUUUCAGUUGCUUUGGAUAAAAGUGUAUGCAUAAUGACUAAAUAGUGUUUUCUCCAGUUUGGCGUGGAAUCCUAGUUGAUCCUACCCCCCUAUAACAUAAACUUCUGAUGGUAGAUUAAAGGCUACUUAAUUACAAUUGGUAUCAUUUUCAAUGUAGUUCUGUGGUGGGUUUCAUGUGUUUGCUAUUGUAAUUAUGUCCGUUCCCAUACUCCCAAGAGCUGUAAAACAAUAAACACAUCCAAACAAG
ensembl:lncRNA